rnacentral:rRNA from 1 species
AGUGAACGCUGGCGGUAGGCCUAACACAUGCAAGUCGAACGGCAGCACAGUAAGAGCUUGCUCUUACGGGUGGCGAGUGGCGGACGGGUGAGGAAUACAUCGGAAUCUACUUUUUCGUGGGGGAUAACGUAGGGAAACUUACGCUAAUACCGCAUACGACCUACGGGUGAAAGCAGGGGAUCGUCGGACCUUGCGCGAUUGAAUGAGCCGAUGUCGGAUUAGCUAGUUGGCGGGGUAAAGGCCCACCAAGUCGACGAUCCGUAGCUGGUCUGAGAGGAUGGUCGGCCACACUGGAACUGAGACACGGUCCAGACUCCUACGGGAGGGAGCAGUGGGGAAUAUUGGACAAUGGGCGCAAGCCUGAUCCAGCCAUACCGCGUGGGUGAAGAAGGCCUUCGGGUUGUAAAGCCCUUUUGUUGGGAAAGAAAAGCAGCAGGUUAAUACCCCGCUGUUCUGACGGUACCCAAAGAAUAAGCACCGGCUAACUUCGUG